rnacentral:lncRNA from 1 species
GGGAACACAAUGAGGCAAUGUUUCAGCUGCUUGUGCAUUCUUCACCUCCCAUUGUCUCUGUCUCUCUCUUUCUCCUCUGCUUCCCCUCACCCCACAACCAAAGUCAAGAGCGCAGACCCCAUGAUCACCUGAUACUUCCAAGCAAGCAGGUGUUCUUUUCAGAAGCCAGAAGCUGAUAACCUGGGCUUUCUGAUCUAACCCCAGCCCAAAUUCAUUGCAAUGGAGGAAUUGGGGAGGAGAUUCUUCCUACUGAGAAGUGGGUGCCAACUCUCCCUUUCAAAUUUGUUCAUCAACAAACUAAAGGGGAUGCCAGAAAUGUCUGGAGCAAUGGAAGAACCACUGGAAUAAUGCUCCUGCCUGAUUGUAUCUACUUAACCCACUCUCCAAGAGCCAGAAUCAGAUUUCAACCGUAUGGAAUCAUCUACAAUGCAGCAGAUGGGUUUACAAGUCUCUUGGUCUCUUCAUAAGGCGCAGCAAUCGUGUCCCAAGUCCUUGAGGACUUCACAGGGUGUUCUAGUGUCCUGAGAAUAUACCUGCCUAAGGAAUUUGGCUAUAGCUGGUAUUGGGUUCCUCAAACCAGCCCACCUGCGCUAUGGGAAUGUCAAAAUUGUCCUGGCAAGCUGAGGGGGCAUCCAGAGGUCACCCAGCUUUCCCCUGAAGCGUUGCUCAGAGGCCACUGUACCAUAAAAGGGAGUUCCCAUCCCACACUGGUUCUGAAAGCCCUGGUGUCCAGGCCCGUGUUGUGAUCUUUUCUCCUCUGCCUAGGGCGUAUCUGUUAGGGAGACUCCCAUGAGGGAGGGGAGCCGAGGGAAGAGGCUGAGUGAGGUGAAGAGAGUGUGUUUGUCCCUCCAGCUGUGCCAGGGUCUUCUCAGCCCUUCUCACAGAGGGCUGUCUGUGGACCUCUGUUCCUGGAAUCACCCCUCUGCACCACCCAAACUCCCUGAUUAUGAAUUACACAAUACAUCCCUAAUUC